rnacentral:rRNA from 1 species
UACGGAGGGUGCGAGCGUUGUCCGGAAUCACUGGGCGUAAAGGGCGCGUAGGCGGCGCGGGAAGUCCGUGGUGAAAGCCCGAGGCUCAACUUCGGGUCGGCCAUGGAUACUCCUGGGCUUGAGCACUGUAGAGGCAGGUGGAAUUCCCGGUGUAGCGGUGGAAUGCGUAGAGAUCGGGAAGAACAUCAGUGGCGAAGGCGGCCUGCUGGGCUGUUGCUGACGCUGAGGCGCGACAGCGUGGGGAGCAAACAGG